UAGGGAAUCUUCCGCAAUGGGCGAAAGCCUGACGGAGCAACGCCGCGUGAGUGAUGAAGGUCUUCGGAUCGUAAAACUCUGUUAUUAGGGAAGAACAAAUGUGUAAGUAACUAUGCACGUCUUGACGGUACCUAAUCAGAAAGCCACGGCUAACUACGUGCCAGCAGCCGCGGUAAUGCGUAGGUGGCAAGCGUUAUCCGGAAUUAUUGGGCGUAAAGCGCGCGUAGGCGGUUUUUUAAGUCUGAUGUGAAAGCCCACGGCUCAACCGUGGAGGGUCAUUGGAAACUGGAAAACUUGAGUGCAGAAGAGGAAAGUGGAAUUCCAUGUGUAGCGGUGAAAUGCGCAGAGAUAUGGAGGAACACCAGUGGCGAAGGCGACUUUCUGGUCUGUAACUGACGCUGAUGUGCGAAAGCGGGGGGAUCAAACAGG
rnacentral:rRNA from 1 species